GUUUGCACGGGUGGGCCUUGUCU
rnacentral:miRNA from 2 species